CUUGUGAUUGUUUGAGACACAUGUUGAAUCUUCAUGGGGUUCUUUAGGAGAGGAGUUAAUUGCGUGAAAUGGGAUCUAACAAGGACAGAUCGACCAUAAAAAAAUUAGAUGUCACAAUAGAAUGCAUGGUUGGUAGAAUCUAAGCCUUUAUUCUGAUAGUGUGGAUGAUAUGAACAGAGUUCCUGCCUCGUCUAGGGCGUAGGUUGUAGGAGUGGAGGAUCAGAGGGAGAGGUUUGAAGGUGGAAGAACAAUGGCGAGGAGCCGUCGUGAGCAGCGAGAGCGAGGGGCGCGCGUGCGCUGUGUGUAGGAGGAGAGGACGGCUAGGGUUUGAUCUCCCGGCUCUCUUCAGGAAGCUGGAAACAAUUGAAUGUUUCUGCUUAAUUCCAAAUCUAUCCACUUACAAAGUAUUUAUACUCAUGUCAUAAGAAUAUGCAAAUAACCCCUCUAAUUAUUGGAAAUAUGACUGAUAUGGUCCUAAGACCCCCCUAGGCCGGCGCCCCUUUAGCCACUGCUGGCGUUUCGCCUAUUGUAGUGGAUGCCGGUCAUAACAUCUCUCCCCGCUUGCGCAAACAGCUCGUCCUCGAGCUGGAAGUCGGGGUAAGAGGCACGAAGGUCAUCAAGAGGCUCCCAAGUGGUGUCAUCAUCCGGUAAGCCACGCCACUUGAUCAAGACAUGCCAGACACCAGUUGUUGUGCCUUGAGAGCGCGUUCCGAGUCUGGAAGAUGGUGGCCAUCGAGGACGGGGGGUAGGACGCCUGGCGCGGCCGGUGGCUCCCCACGAUGAUGCUUCAUGAGGUCCACGUGGAAGACGUCAUGGAGGCGGGAGCCCUCUGGAAAUUCCAGUCGGUAGGCCGCCAACCCGAUGCGCCCCAACACCUAGAAAGGCACGGCGUAUCGAGGCUCCAGCUUCCCUUUGGCGUGGGGAUCUAGGGAUUGAGUGGUUCGAUUGAGGAGCCGGAGCCACACCCAGUCGCCCACUUGCAACUCCAGCUCCCGAUGCGAGGCGUCGUAGUACUUCUUGGACAACUGCUGCGCCUGGACGAGACGCUGGCGCACCUCUGUCAGCACCUCGUCACGGGAGCGAAGGAGAACAUCUGUCGUCUCGGUCUUGUCCGUGCCCGGCCGGUACGAUAGGAUGGGCGGGGGUGGCCGCCCAUAGACAACCUCAAAUGGCAUGGCACGGAGGAUGGAGUGGAAGGACGUGUUGUAGCAGUACUCCACCUAGGAAAGCCAAUCAACCCAAGCGCGCGAUCGGUCACCUGUGACACAGUGUAAGUACAUAGCGAUCACCUUGUUCACCACCUCAGACUGGCCAUUCGUUUGGGGAUGGAAGGCCAUGCUCAGGGGAAGUGUGACACCCACCAGCUUGAAGAGAUCGCGCCACACAUGCCCUAUGAACAUAGGGUCCCGAUCAGUGAAGAUGGACGUCGGGAACUCGUGGAGGCGAACGAUGCCGUCGAAGAAAGCACGCACAACUGAGGUGGCGUGUAGGGGUGGCUCACUGCAAUGAAAUGCGCAUACUUGGAGAACCUGUCAACCACCGUGAGUAUGACGGACUUGCCGCCAACCUUCGACAGCCCCUCGAUGAAGUCCAUCGAGAUAUCCGCCCAGACCUAGGACGAGACGUCGAGGGACUACAACAGCCUCGCAGGCUGCAGCGUCUCUAUCUUGUUGCGCAGGAAGGUGGCACAAGAACACACCUAGUCCUAAACCAAUGCACGAUCGCCUGGGAUGUAGAUGUCGGCGUGGAGGCGAUGCAGAGUCUUCUAGACACACUCGUGCCCAACCGAGUGGGCCAAGAGGCGGACCUGGUGCUGGAAAUCGCCGUGAUUGGGCACAAAUAUGCGAGAGCCUUGGAGGAGCAAACCGCCCCCAAGGCGCCAGGGGGCGGCCAAGUCACCCGCCUGCAGGCAGCAUGCCAGUAGUUGGGCGUCUGGCACCGCGGCGCGGCAGAUGUCAUCAAGGAAGGCAAAUGAAGGGCCGAAGACGGCGAGGGCAGCGCUUGCUGCCGCCGUAGGCACGUCAUCAGAACCGCUGUCACGGCAGGACAAAGCUUUGCAACUGUGUUGAGACGCUUGGGCUGGUACUCAACAUCGAAACCAAAGCCGAACAGCUUGCUAAUCCAUUGGUGCUGGGGAACAGUUGACAAACGUUGGUCAAGUAAAAAUUUGAGACUGUAAUGGUCGAGGCGAACCAGGAAGUGGCGCCUCCACAAGUAUGGCCACCAAUGCCGAACGGCCUGUACUAAGCCGAUGAGCUCCCGUUCAUACGCGGCGAGCAGCGAACAACCGGCUGAAGUAGGCGACCAGACCAACGCCCUGGUGUAGGACUGCGCCAAACCUAGCAAUUGAGGCGUCACAAUACACCAUGAAGACGCUGUCGAAACCGGCAUCUGAAGCACGGGCCUUGUGGUCAACGCCUACUUGAGCACCUGGAAGGCACCCGCCGCCUCAUCGUCCCACAGGAAAGUAUCUCACCGCAAGAGACGCGUCAGCAGGGCAGGAAUAAGGCUGAAGUCCCAGAUAAACUUCCAGUAAUAACUGGCAAGCCCUAAGAAGACGCAGAGGCCGCGCGCCGAGUGCUGUGUCAACCAUGCAGAGACCACCUGCACCUUGUCCGCAUCCAUGGCGACGCCAUCUGUCGAUAUGACGUGGCCGAGAUAGGCCACAGAGGUGGCGCCAAACGAACACUUGGAGCGCUUCAGGUGGAGGUGGUGCACUCGAAGUGCUGUGAGGACAGCGCCCAUGUCAGUGGCGGAUCUAGGAUUUUAAUCAUGGGGGUACGAACGAAAAUGAUAUAGUUCAUCGAUAUGAACAUAACAUAAUUAGAUCACUAAACGGUGAUAAAAUAGUUGUGAAUAUAUAGUGUUAAGGUUGUUAUAUAAGCUGAGUAGACUAGCAAUUAUGUAUAACAAUGUAUUAUACAUGUAUAUAUUAUUAAAGAGUAUACAUAUUAAAUGUUUUUCAAAAAAAUUUGGGGGGACAGCUGUCCCCCCAUGCUACUACUCUAGAACCGCCCCUGGCCCAUGUGCUGUAGGUGUUCUGCCCAGGAGGAACUGUAAAUAAGAAUGUCAUCGAAAAUCACCAGUACAACCUGGCGUAAGUUGGGGCGCAGGACGUCGUUCAUCCGCACCUGAAAAGUGGUUGUAGCGUUGGAAAGCCCAAACGGCAUGAUGAAGAACUCGUAGUGCCCCUGAUGUGUACGGAAGGCGGUCUUGGCGACGUCAUCGGGGUGCAUCUGAACCUGGUGGUAGCUCGAGCGUAAGUCAAGCUUGGUGAAGAACCGAGCCCCUUGGAGUUCAUCUAGGAGCUCAUCCUCCACCAGGAUGAUCCUGACAUGUCGGCGGCCACGGACGUAGGUAGGGCUAGGUCAGGAGUUGGCAGCGAGGGCUGCGGUGGUGGUGGCGGCGGGUAGGGGCAUUGGAGGCUGGAAGGACUACGGGUACGAGAGCUGUGGCGGCGACGCAUAGGAGUGCGGAUAAGAGGGCGGCGGUGGCGCGUAGUGGGCGAUCAGCAGCGGCUGCAUGGCGUGCCGCAUCUCCGCCAUGGCAUGCGAGAUGUCGAUGACUGCGGCUCCCGCCUGCUCUAGGGUGAAGACAGCGGUAGGUGCGCCGGUGGCUGGCUGCGAUCCCUAGGGCUGCGCAGCAUGGAUUAGGGGUAGAGUGGUCGACGAAGGGGACAGUGCAGCGGUGCUGACCGCCGGCGUAGCGGACGACGUCGACGACGGUGGAGUAAGGGAGGCUGUGGGUCGGGGACCUGUCAUUGCCGAUACCAGAUUGAUACGAACGGAGUUCUUGCCUCGUCUAGGGUGUAGGUUGUAGGACUGGAGGAUCAGAGGGAGAGGUUUGAAGGUGGAAGAACUACGGUGAGGAGCUGUCGUGAGCAGCGAGAGCGAGGGGCGCGCGUGUGCUGCGUGCAGGAGGAGAGGGUGGCUAGGGUUUGAUCUCCGGGUUCCCUUCAGGAAGCCAGAAACAAUUGAAUGUUUCUGCUUAAUUCCAAAUCUGUCCACUUACAAAGUAUUUAUACUCCUAUCAUAAGAAUAUGCAAAUAACCCCUCUAAUUAUCGGAAAUACGACUGAUAUGGUCCUAAUAAGACCCCCUAGGCCUGCGCCCCUUUAGCCACUGCUGGUCUUUCUCCGAUUGUAGUGUACGCCGGUCAUAACAAUGGAUAUAAUCUUUAAUGGUGUGUUUGGUUUGA